rnacentral:rRNA from 1 species
GUAUUAGUUAUGUUCUUGAAACUCAAAGAAUUUGGCGGUAUUUUAGUCUUUUUAGAGGAACCUGUUCUGUAAUCGAUAUUCCACGAUUUUAUUAACUUACUUUUGUUUUCAGCUUUUAUAUCUCCGUCAUAAGGAUAUUUUUUUAGAAUUAAUUUUCUUAAUUGUCUGAUACAGGUAUGUCAGGUCAAGGUGAAGCUUAUGAGUAAGUAGAAAUGGGUUACAAUAAAUUUAUUUAUACGGAUUAUUUAUUUUUUAUGAAAUAUGAAGGUGGAUUUAAAAGUAAAUUUAAUUAAUUAAUUUUUUUGAUUUUAGCUCUAAAAUAUGCACACAUCGCCCG